rnacentral:tRNA from 1 species
UGGCUUAGUUGGUAGAGCAUGGUGUGUGCAACGCCAAGGUUGUGGGUUCGAUUCCCAC